rnacentral:rRNA from 1 species
CAGUAGCCGCGGGAAUACGUAGGUGGCAAGCGUUGUCCAGAAUUAUUGGGCGUAAAGGGCUCGCAGGCGGUUUCUUAAGUCUGAUGUGAAAGCCCACGGCUCAACCGUGGAGGGUCAUUGGAAACUGGAAAACUUGAGUGCAGAAGAGGAAAGUGGAAUUCCAUGUGUAGCGGUGAAAUGCGCAGAGAUAUGGAGGAACACCAGUGGCGAAGGCGACUUUCUGGUCUGUAACUGACGCUGAUGUGCGAAAGCGUGGGGAUCAAACAGGAUUAGAUACCCCCGUAGUCCCUGUCUCUUAUAC